GCCAGGCACAGUGAUUCACGCCUGUAAUCCCAGCAGCUCAGGAGGCUGAGACAGGAGGAUUGCGAGUUCAAAGCCAGCCUCAGUAAUAUCGAGGCACUAAGCAACUCAGUGAGACCCUGUCUCUA
rnacentral:sRNA from 1 species